UUACAUGAGAGUUUGAUCCUGGCUCAGGACGAACGCUGGCGGCGUGCCUAAUACAUGCAAGUCGAGCGGAC
rfam:Bacillus sp. VT-16-64 NODE_194, whole genome shotgun sequence.